rnacentral:rRNA from 1 species
AUGGCUCAUGAUAAUACCAAAUUGUGUGACUUUUCCAAUACCAACAAUAAUGAUUUUAUUAGCACUCCGAUUGCUCCUUUUACCGAUACUGAAUCUCGUGAAAUCAAUACCGCUUUGUUGAAUCUUGUUAUGAAAAAUCAAUUUUCUGUCCUUCCUAGUGAAGAUGCCUCUACCCAUCUAAACAGCUUCGUUGAUUUGUGUGAUAUGCAAAAGAAGAAAGAUGUGGAUAAUAAUAUUGUUAAAUUGAAGCUAUUUCCGUUUUCGCUUAGAGAUCGUGCUAAAACUUGUUUUUCUUCUUUGUGUAAAAAUGUAUUGAUUCAUGGAAUAAGUGCAAAGAUGCUUUUAUCUCUAAGUAUUUUCCUCCCGCUAAUAUCAUUGAUACGUCUUCAUUGUAUCUACUUUUCCAAACACUUUUGA